UAGGGAAUCUUCGGCAAUGGACAAAAGUCUGACCGAGCAACGCCGCGUGAGUGAAGAAGGUUUUCGGAUCGUAAAACUCUGUUGUUAGAGAAGAACAAAGGGUGAGAGUAACUGUUCACCCCUUGACGGUAUCUAACCAGAAAGCCACGGCUAACUACGUGCCAG
rnacentral:rRNA from 1 species